CAGUCUCUGCCUAAUCCUGUUUUCCUCACUCUCUCAAGGUCUGUAUCCUAGAAAUCCAACCUGAGAUCCUGCGGCACCGAGAAAGGGUGAGUGAAACAGAGAAAAGGUGGGAUGGAGGGAAGAACAGAGGUGGGAACCACUCAGCAGGAGCAAGAAGGGGUGAUGGUGGGAGACAGACAGGAAGGAGUAGGCGUGUGAUUUGAUGCCUCUCCCCUCCACCUCCAAGGAAGCUG
rnacentral:lncRNA from 1 species